AGGAAAUAAAUUACAGACCUAUAUCAAUUAUAAGUACUGAUGCAAACUAUUGCAUAAAACAUUAGCUAACCAAUUUUAAUACCAUAUUAAGAAAAUAAUACGUGGUACUAUGACCAUGUGGGAUUUAUUCAAGGAAAACAUAAUUAGUUGACUAUUAGGUAAUCCAUUAAUGUUGUAUACCAUAUUAAUGAAUAUAGGGAGACAAAUCAUAUGUAGAUGCUAAAAUGACCUUCAACAACCUUUAACAUUUGAUAAAAACACUCAACAAAAUAGGAAUUAAUAUUUUCUCUUUUUAAAUGAUUUUAAUUUUUUCCAUUAUAGCUGGUUUACAGCAAGUGACUGGUCACACAUAUAUACAUUUUUUUUCUCACAUUAUCCUUCGUGUUCCAUCAUAAGUGACUAGAUAUAGUUCCCUGUGCUAUACAGCAGGAUCUCAUUGCUUAUCCACUCCAAAUGCAAUAGUCUGCAUCUAUUAACCCCAAAUUCCCAGUCUGUCCCUCUCCCUCCCCCUCCUCCUUGGCAACCACAAGUCUGGUCUCCAAGUCCAUGAGUUUCUUUUCUAUGGAAAGGUUCAUUUGUGCUGUGUAUUAGAUUCCAGAUAUAAGUGAUAUCAUAUGGUAUUUGUCUUUCUCUUUCUGACUUACUUCACUUAGUAUGAGAGUUUCUAGUUCCAUCCAUGUUGCUGCAAAUGGCAUUAUUUUGUUCCUUUUUAUGGCUGAGUAGUAUUCCAUUGUGUGUAUAUACCACAUAUUCCUAAUCCAAUCAUCUGUUGAUGGACAUUUAGGUUGUUUCCAUGUCUUGGCUGUUGUGAAUAGUGCUGCAGUGAACAUUCAGGGGCAUGUAUCUUUUUCAAGGAAAGGUUUGUCCAGAUAUAUGCCCUAGAGUGGGAUUUCUGUGUUAUACCAUAGUUCCAUGUUUAAUUUGCUGAGGUUCCUACAUACUGUUUUCUGUAGUUAUUGUACCAGUUUACAUUCCUACUAGCAGUGUAGGAGGGUACCAUUUUCUCCAUACCCUCUCCAGCAUUUCUUAUUUGUUGACUUGUUAAUGAUGGCCAUUCUGACAGGUGUGAAGGAAUUGAUAUUUUCUUAACACCAUUUUACUUAGUGGGAAACACUAGGGACAUUUUUACUUCUACCAUCUGGAACAAGGCAGUAGUAACCUUACUACUGCCCUCAUUUUACUACUGCCCUCAUUUUACUGCCCUCAUAUAUUACGCAAUGCAAUUAAAUAAGAGCAUUUAGAAGAGACGUAACAAUUUGAAAUUAAGAAGUAAAAGUAUAUUUGCAUAUAUUAUGAUAGUAUAUGUGGAAAACCCUAGAACAAAGGUCAGAAAAGUAGCCCGAGAGCCAAAUAUGGUCACAUCAUUUUGUUGUGUAUUACUUUUUCCUUUAGCUCUACACUAACAGAAUUGGGUAAUUGUGACAGAAACUGAAUGAACCUGAGUUCCUUUGUGGUGCAGUGGGUUAAGGAUCUGGCAUUGUGACUGCUGGUGUGGCAUAUGUUUGAUCCCUGGCCUGGGAACUUCUACAUGUUGUAGGCACAGCCAAAGAAAGAAGGAAGGAAGGAAGGGAGGGAGGAAAGAAAGAAAAAUUGUUUGGGCCACAAAGCUGAAAAUAUUCAGAUAUUGAACAGAAAAAUUGUGUAGACUCCUGCCCUAGAGAAUCAGUAAUAAAACUAAUCCAAACAGUAAAAUAAUUUAGUAACUAGCAAGCUAUAAAAUUAGUAGCAUCAAAACUCAAUACUCAAUUUUUUUUUUUUUUUUUGGUCUUUUUAGGGCCACCCCUGUGACAUAUGAAAGUUCCCAGGCUAGGGGUCGAAUCAGAGCUGUAGCUGCUGGCCUGUGGCACAGCCACAGCUAUGCAGGAUCCGAGGCACGUCUGUGACACCACAGCUCACGGCAGCAACAGAUCCUGAACACAAUGAGCGAGGCCAGGGAUCGAACCCAAGUCCUCAUGGAUAUUAGUCGAAUUUGUUAACCGCUGAGCUGUGAUGGGAACUCCUGGGUUAUGGUUUUUGUAGAAAGAAUACUGCAGAGUUGAAGUACUCUUCUCAUCACAUUGUAUCAGGGAGUAUAUACUAUCAACUCCAGUGAUGUAAACCUAAUAUCUUGGUUAAGGAAAUAUCUGCCAGGUUUCUCCUAUGUAAAGUUCCAACUUUUCCCUAUUUGGAAGGAAGUCACUAACUCCAGCCCACUCUCAAAGGUAAGGUGAGGGGGCAGGUUAAACUUCACUUUCUGGACAGGUUAGUUGCUACAUAUGUUACUUGGAUUCCGCUGAAGGAAGAUUUGAUUCUUCUCCCCAAUUUGUUUAUGUAUCUUUUAUUUAUGUGUAUAUUGAUUCAUUAAUAUUUAUUUUAUUCUUUGGGUUAUAAUAUAAUAUAUUCUUUGUCAUUCACAUACUUCCAGCUUUGACUGUCUGGAGUUCUGGUAGACUCCUGUGGUACUGACAUGCUUCCAUCCUUUUGGUUUAUGAGCAUUCCCUUGCUUUCUGGUAUUAUUGGCUUGUCUUGUAUUUUUCCUGUUUCAAUCUGCUGUUUCUUUAGAGCACUUGGGUUUUUGUAAUUGGAGAACGAUGUUUAGAAACCACAGUCUUGGCACUAAGUGGUUUCUACUGUUUUGUAACUUUUCUGUAAGUUUGAAGUCAUUUCCAAAUAAAAAGUAAAAAAAAAAAAAAAA
rnacentral:lncRNA from 9 species